rnacentral:rRNA from 1 species
GACGAACGCUGGCGGCGUGCUUAACACAUGCAAGUCGAACGGAAAGGCCCUGCUUUUGUGGGGUGCUCGAGUGGCGAACGGGUGAGUAACACGUGAGUAACCUGCCCUUGACUUUGGGAUAACUUCAGGAAACUGGGGCUAAUACCGGAUAGGAGCUCCUGCUGCAUGGUGGGGGUGGGAUAGUUUCGGCGGUUGGGGAUGGACUCGCGGCUGAUCAGCUUGUUGGUGGGGUAGUGGCUUACCAAGGCUUUGACGGGUAGCCGGCCUGAGAGGGUGACCGGCCACAUUGGGACUGAGAUACGGCCCAGACUACUACGGGAGGCAGCAGUGGGGUAUAUUGCACAAUGGGCGGAAGCCUGAUGCAGCAACGCCGCGUGCGGGAUGACGGCCUUCGGGUUGUAAACCGCUUUCGCCUGUGACGAAGCGUGAGUGACGGUAAUGGGUAAAGAAGCACCGGCUAACUACGUG